rnacentral:lncRNA from 1 species
UCGCACCUGUUUUAUUUGGCACUGCAAAUACAUAUCUCUCCCCCCUCCCAUCAUUUGUUUCCUUGUGCGUUCACACUGCACCUCUCCUUCUCGUUCUAAUAUCGAUUAAAAUGCCCAUGCUUCUUGACUCACCUUUGCGAAUGAACCAGCGGAUCAUAAUUCCAUUCGCGCGUAAUGUCGAACGACCCAUCCGAAAAAAAAAUUGGUGCAACACGAGAAC